GAAGGUGCCACCGCCGCCUUCUCUGCCCGGCUGGCCGCCGGGAGUGAAUGCGCCCCCGCCUCCUGUCUGCUCUUCUGUCCGUCUGCACGUCUGUCAGUCCGACCGUCUGUCGGUCCCACUAGCAGCUCAGCGCGGGACUCUCGCUUUCCUGCACUCUGCUCUCAGAGCUGCCACUCUCGCAGGCUGCCAGUCUGUGCGCUGGUCUGUCCGUCCGUCCGAAUCUCUCCGUCCCACCAGCAAUGCAGCGUCCCUCUUCCGGUCUUCUGUGCCCACAGUCCUCUCCCACUCUGUGCCCCUGGCCGCUCCGCUCGAACCUUUCCUUACCCACCAUCUCACUUUCUUCUCCCAUAGUUCUCUCUUUCGGCUGCUUCUAAGAGGACAUCUGCAACAAUAGACCAGAUAUCUUCUGUUUGCCCUUCCAUAAAGACGUCCCACCCAUGUCCAUGUUGCUCUUCGCCAUCAAAGGCUAAUCUGCUUGGGUAAGUCACAGGUUCCUAUGUCUACUGGCCUUCGGUACGGUUUGGCCAAAGGGGAUGCCUGGUAAGAGAUUAGAGGUUAAUGAGGUUAAGGGUAUGUAUUUCCUCUUGAUUAGGAUGCUUUUUCCCACUUGAGGACGACCUCUGUUUUUUCCAAGAUGGGCUGCUUAAAGUAAGAUGUUUUUGUGUGUUGGUGGAGGGGAGUGGAUCCUAUAACCUGUGCCACUCCUCAUGCCUUCACACCCAGCAUGGUAACAGCACUGCUGCAAAUAGCUUUGUGUUAUUGCACUAUCCUCUAUCUCAGCUUACACAGCUUUGUAAUUAUAUCAUUUGUAAACAAGCAUUCUUGAAAUUAUUCUAAUUUGAAUAUGUCCUCUUUCAGGGGGAACAUGAUUAAUAUACAACCCUUCUCAGUGAAUGGUUUUUGUUUUUCUGUUUCUUAAGCUCUUUGGGUAGAUUCUAAUACGCAAUGUUAAUGAACUUGUAGAACAUAAUAAGGAUUUUGGGCUGUAUCCUAAGAGCAAUAAGUAAUGGGAAGUCGAUAAAAGGUUUAAAGAGGAACAAGAUGCUAUUUAAGAUUUGUUUUGAAAGUAUCACUUUGGUUGGUAUAAACUUGAUUGAUAGAGAGGCACAAGGAGUUAGGGAGAUAUUAGUAACUCUGAUAUUGUCAAGCUAACUGUGUUCUGCUUGAUUGGAUAGGAGUCUCAUCAUUGGAUAGAAAGGAUGUAAAAGCUAAAGAAUUUUUGUAUUCCUUUAUAUUUACCCAAAGGCAUUGAAAAACAUACCCACACAAAAUAUUUCACAUGGAUAUUCAUAGUUGUCAAAACUUAGAAGCAACCAAUAUAUCUGCCAGUAGGUGAGUAGAUAAAUAAAUUAGGGUACAUCCAAAUAAUGGAUAUUAUUCAGCACUAAAAAGAAAUGAGCUUUUCAAGCCAUGAAAAGACAUGGAGGAAACUGAAGUGUACAUUGCUAAGUAAAAGUACUCAGUCUAAAAAUGCUAACUACUAUAUGAUUCUAACUAUGUAACAUUCUGGAAAAGGCAAAACUAUGGAGACAGUAAAAUAAUUCAUGGUUGUCGGGAUAUAGAGGGGAGGGAAGGAUGAAAAGGCAGAAUACAGAGGACUUUUUGAGGCAGUGAAAAUACUCUGUAUGAUGUUAUAAUAGUGGAUAAUGCAAUUAUACAUUUGUCCAUGCCAUAGAACGCACAAAUCCAAGAGUGAACCCU
rnacentral:lncRNA from 10 species